GGGGUCGACUGGUUUUGACAGCAAGUCGAAUUGAAAAGUAAGCACGUCGAGAACUGGGACAAUUCUCGUUAAUAAAAGGUUUCAAAACACUUACACGGCGAAGGAAACUACGCUCUUGCUGCAUAAUCUGAAUUAUAGUAAGAUUAGCCUCGUCCUACCAGGUAGGAAAGCAGGAUUCAUCUCGAAAGCUUUGGUUUAUAGCGGUCGAUAAAGAUGAAUCGUAAAUUUAAACCUAAGAACAGUGUAGCUUCGGAACUGUUACAAAAAUUAAAGAAGAUAAGUGUUGUGUGGCUGUUUCUGGCCAAGCACGACGACGAAAAUUCAAUCAGGAAAUAAGCGUGUAGAAAGUUUUUUAGUUGCUUGUUUGGACCCGGGUUCGAUUCCCGGCGAUUCCACCA
rnacentral:tmRNA from 1 species